rnacentral:rRNA from 1 species
GAUGAACGCUGGCGGCGUGCCUAAUACAUGCAAGUCGAACGCAUUGUGGUUGAAAUGAUAUGAAGAACUUGUUCAGAUUUGAUUUUCAACAUUGCAAUGAGUGGCGAACGGGUGAGUAACACGUGGGAAACCUACCUCUUAGCAGGGGAUAACAUUUGGAAACAAAUGCUAAUACCGUAUAAUAAUUAAAACCGCAUGGUUUUAGUUUAAAAGAUGGUCUUGCUAUCACUAAGAGAUGGUCCCGCGGUGUAUUAGUUAGUUGGUGAGGUAAUGGCUCACCAAGACAAUGAUACAUAGCCGAGUUGAGAGACUGACCGGCCACAAUGGGACUGAGACACGGCCCAUACUCCUACGGGAGGCAGCAGUAGGGAAUCUUCCACAAUGGACGAAAGUCUGAUGGAGCAACGCCGCGUGUGUGAUGAAGGGUUUCGGCUCGUAAAACACUGUUGUAAGAGAAGAAUGACAUUGAGAGUAACUGUUCAAUGUGUGACGGUAUCUUACCAGAAAGGAACGGCUAAAUACGUGCCAGCAGCCGCGGUAAUACGUAUGUUCCAAGCGUUAUCCGGAUUUAUUGGGCGUAAAGCGAGCGCAGACGGUUAUUUAAGUCUGAAGUGAAAGCCCUCGGCUCAACCGAGGAAUUGCUUUGGAAACUGGAUAACUUGAGUGCAGUAGAGGAAAGUGGAACUCCAUGUGUAGCGGUGAAAUGCGUAGAUAUAUGGAAGAACACCAGUGGCGAAGGCGGCUUUCUGGACUGUAACUGACGUU